rnacentral:rRNA from 1 species
AUUGAACGCUGGCGGCAGGCUUAACACAUGCAAGUCGCGCGGAGAGAGGUAGCUUGCUACUGAUCUUAGCGGCGGACGGGUGAGUAAUGCUUAGGAAUCUGCCUAUUAGUGGGGGACAACGUUUCGAAAGGAAUGCUAAUACCGCAUACGUCCUACGGGAGAAAGCAGGGGAUCUUCGGACCUUGCGCUAAUAGAUGAGCCUAAGUCGGAUUAGCUAGUUGGUCGGGUAAAGGCCUACCAAGGCGACGAUCUGUAGCGGGUCUGAGAAGAUGAUCCGCCACACUGGGACUGAAACACGGCCCAGACUCCUACGGGAGGCAGCAGUGGGGAAUAUUGGACAAUGGGAGGAAGCCUGAUCCAGCCAUGCCGCGUGUGUGAAGAAGGCCUUAUGGUUGUAAAGCACUUUAAGCGAGGAGGAGGCUACUUUAGUUAAUACCUAGAGAUAGUGGACGUUACUCGCAGAAUAAGCACCGGCUAACUCUGUGCCAGCCGCCGCGGUAAUAC